rnacentral:misc_RNA from 1 species
CACCUGGCUUACCUCCNUCAUUUAUGCGUCAUGACUUGUAUCGUCUUGAGCGUAUUGUGGGUUUCCUGUGUUGCAUACCUAACUAAUGGUAUCGUUUUGGUUGAUCGAAGUCCCUUUUCGUCUUGUGUUGCCUUUGCGAUGCAUGAUGAACCUUGAAGCGGUCUCUAUGUUCCACCACGUUGAUGCUAGUGUUUCGAUGUUGUGGCCCAUUGAGUGUUGCUUGGUUUCGUGGAUACAGAACAUGAUUUGGGCAUAGGGUCACUUGUGACUCUUGUUCUGUCCUUUAUCGGUGUUCUUUAUAACGACGGUUCAUGUGCGUCUAGGCUUGUACCUGCGCGAUGUUCUUGUCAAAGAGGAAUGCUACCUGGUUGAUCCUGCCAGUAGUCAUAUGCUUGUCUCAAAGAUUAAGCCAUGCAUGUGUAAGU